GGUGGCCACUCUUCCACCGUUUGGUCACUUGAUUUUAAUGCUAAGGGAGACAAAUUGGUAACUUGUAGUGAUGAUCUUACCCUGAAGAUAUGGGAAACAGACAUCACAAGGAUGCAGUCUAGAGAAGGUUAUGCACCCUGGAAUCAUCUUUGCACUCUUUCUGGUUAUCAUGAUCGAACGAUCUUUCCAGUUCACUGGUCAAGAUAUUGACACCAUUUUGUUA